CCCCUCUUUGGAUUGUACCUGGAGAGUUUCCGGUACUCUACCAGUCUCAAUUAAGGGAGGGAGAGUCAAGCAGAGAAAUACCCAUUCCAUUCCUGGCUUGGGCAGUGGCUAGAGAGUGGAAGGCAAUAUGCUACAAGU